AUUGAACGCUGGCGGAAUGCUUUACACAUGCAAGUCGAACGGUAGAGGGGGCAACCCCUUGAGAGUGGCGAACGGGUGAGUAAUAUAUCGGAACGUGCCCAGUCGUGGGGAUAACGUAGCGAAAGUUACGCUAAUACCGCAUACGAUCUAAGGAUGAAAGCGGGGGAUCGCAAGACCUCGCGCGAUUGGAGCGGCCGAUAUCAGAUUAGGUAGUUGGUGGGGUAAAGGCUCACCAAGCCAACGAUCUGUAGCUGGUCUGAGAGGACGACCAGCCACACUGGAACUGAGACACGGUCCAGACUCCUACGGGAGGCAGCAGUGGGGAAUUUUGGACAAUGGGCGCAAGCCUGAUCCAGCAAUGCCGCGUGCAGGAUGAAGGCCU
rnacentral:rRNA from 1 species